rnacentral:rRNA from 1 species
GUGGGGAAUAUUGGGCAAUGGAGGCAACUCUGACCCAGCAACGCCGCGUGAGCGAUGAAGGUCUUCGGAUUGUAAAGCUCUUUAAGUGGGGACGAAGAAAGUGACUGUACCCACAGAAUAAGCCUCGGCUAACUACGUGCCAGCAGCCGCGGUAAUACGUAGGAGGCAAGCGUUAUCCGGAAUGACUGGGCGUAAAGGGUGCGUAGGUGGUUCGGCAAGUUAGUAGCGUAAUUCCGGGGCUCAACUUCGGAUCUACUACUAAAACUGUCGGGCUUGAGUGCAGGAGGGGUAAAUGGAAUUCCCAGUGUAGCGGUGGAAUGCGUAGAUAUUGGGAAGAACACCAGCGGCGAAGGCGAUUUACUGGACUGUAACUGACACUGAGGCACGAAAGCGUGGGGAGCAAACAGGA